rnacentral:rRNA from 1 species
UACGUAGGGUGCGAGCGUUUGUCCGGAAUUAUUGGGCGUAAAGGGCUCGUAGGCGGUCUGUUACGUCGGGAGUGAAAACUCGGGGCUCAACCCCGAGCCUGCUUCCGAUACGGGCAGACUAGAGGUAUGCAGGGGAGAAUGGAAUUCCUGGUGUAGCGGUGAAAUGCGCAGAUAUCAGGAGGAACACCGGUGGCGAAGGCGGUUCUCUGGGCAUUACCUGACGCUGAGGAGCGAAAGUGUGGGGAGCGAACAGG